CAGUUAAAACCUUUUAUUUUCCAUGCAAAGCGUAUUCAUGCCUUUCUGUAGACUGUUAAAGCCAUGCUACCCCAGAUAGCUAUGCCAUGGAGCCCAGCCGUAUACUGAAAGACUUUGGCUCCAUGGCGAUUGAACUGUAUUUAUGUGAUCUGAGCGCCAUUCGGUAGUAAUGUGCACUCAGAUCUAAGCUAUCUGGGGAUAUG